AUUGAACGCUGGCGGUAGGCCUAACACAUGCAAGUCGAACGCGAAAGUCCUUCGGGAUGAGUAGAGUGGCGGACGGGUGAGUAACGCGUAGGAAUCUAUCCUGUAGUGGGGGAUAACGUUUCGAAAGGAACGCUAAUACCGCAUACGCCCCAAGGGGGAAAGCGGGGGAUCUUCGGACCUCGUGCUAUAGGAGGAGCCUGCGUCGGAUUAGCUAGUUGGUGAGGUAAAGGCUCACCAAGGAGACGAUCCGUAGCUGGUCUGAGAGGAUGAUCAGCCACACCGGAACUGAGACACGGUCCGGACUCCUGCGGGAGGCAGCAGUGGGGAAUAUUGCGCAAUGGGCGAAAGCCUGACGCAGCCAUACCGCGUGUGUGAAGAAGGCCUUCGGGUUGUAAAGCACUUUCAGUGGGGAGGAAAAGCUGGUGGCUAAUAUCCAUCGGCCGUGACGCUACCCACAGAAGAAGCACCGGCUAAUUCCGUGCCAGCCGCCGCAGUAAAAC
rnacentral:rRNA from 1 species